AAAAAUUUAAUGGUCGAACAGACCAAAAUCUUAAACUUCUGCACCUAAGAUAAUUUUUAAUCCAACAUCGAGGUCGCAAACUUUUUUAUCGAUAUGAACUCUCUAAAAAAAUUACG
rnacentral:rRNA from 1 species